UACGUAGGUGGCAAGCGUUGUCCGGAAUCAUUGGGCGUAAAGCGCGCGUAGGCGGCCCGGUAAGUCCGCUCUGAAAGUCCAGGGCUCAACCCUGGAAUGCGGGUGGAUACUGCCGGGCUAGAAUCCGGAAGAGGCGAGUGGAAUUCCUGGUGUAGCGGUGGAAUGCGCAGAUAUCAGGAGGAACACCAAUAGCGAAGGCAGCUCGCUGGGACGGUAUUGACGCUAAGGCGCGAAAGCGUGGGGAGCAAACAGG
rnacentral:rRNA from 1 species